rnacentral:rRNA from 1 species
AAAUGAAUUGACGGGGACCCGCACAAGCAGUGGAGUAUGUGGUUUAAUUCGAAGCAACGCGAAGAACCUUACCAGGUCUUGACAUCCCUCUGACCGGAUCAGAGAUGGUCCUUUCCUUCGGGACAGAGGAGACAGGUGGUGCAUGGUUGUCGUCAGCUCGUGUCGUGAGAUGUUGGGUUAAGUCCCGCAACGAGCGCAACCCUUGAGUCCAGUUGCCAGCGCGUAAUGGCGGGCACUCUGGACUGACUGCCGGUGACAAACCGGAGGAAGGUGGGGAUGACGUCAAAUCAUCAUGCCCCUUAUGACCUGGGCUACACACGUACUACAAUGGCCGGUACAACGGGCAGCGAAGCGGUGACGCGGAGCGAAUCCUCAAAAGCCGGUCUCAGUUCGGAUUGCAGGCUGCAACUCGCCUGCAUGAAGUCGGAAUUGCUAGUAAUCGCGGAUCAGCAUGCCGCGGUGAAUACGUUCCCGGGUCUUGUACACACCGCCCGU